rnacentral:lncRNA from 1 species
GAGGGACAGAGGGAAGGUGCUGUAUCUUUUGUUUCAAGGCCUUAGGGUUAGAACUUCAUCUCUGGCUGUCUUUAGGUUGCUACAUCAAAGCAGGCAGUAAGAAAUUAAAACCACCAGGAUAACAUAAUAAAAAAGAGCAAGCCAUUUAGGGGAAAAAAAAAGAAAUCAAUAUUUUGUCUUUUAGGUCCCCAGUGAGAAAUACUUCUGUAGAGAAGACAGAGGGGAAAACAUGAACAAUGGGCUUCUCCUGCCCUAAUUGCCAGUACAGCAGAUGAAGCUGGACUAAAAUUGAUGUCUUCGACCAGGACACUUAACAUUCAGAAGCCAAACCUACCAGCACAGGGAGUGAUA